GGUAACCUACCCUGUACACACGGAUAACAUACCGAAAGGUAUGCUAAUACGGGAUAAUAUAUUUGAGAGGCAUCUCUUAAAUAUCAAAGGUGAGCCAGUACAGGAUGGACCCGCGUCUGAUUAGCUAGUUGGUAAGGUAACGGCUUACCAAGGCGACGAUCAGUAGCCGACCUGAGAGGGUGAUCGGCCACAUUGGAACUGAGACACGGUCCAAACUCCUACGGGAGGCAGCAGUGGGGAAUAUUGCACAAUGGGCGAAAGCCUGAUGCAGCAACGCCGCGUGAGUGAUGAAGGCCUUCGGGUCGUAAAACUCUGUCCUCAAGGAAGAUAAUGACGGUACUUGAGGAGGAAGCCCCGGCUAACUACGUGCCAGCAGCCGCGGUAAUACGUAGGGGGCUAGCGUUAUCCGGAUUUACUGGGCGUAAAGGGUGCGUAGGCGGUCUUUCGAGUCAGGAGUGAAAGGCUACGGCUCAACCGUAGUAAGCUCUUGAAACUGGGAGACUUGAGUGCAGGAGAGGAGAGUGGAAUUCCUAGUGUAGCGGUGAAAUGCGUAGAUAUUAGGAGGAACACCAGUUGCGAAGGCGGCUCUCUGGACUGUAACUGACGCUGAGGCACGAAAGCGUGGGGAGCAAACAGGAUUAGAUACCCUGGUAGUCCACGCUGUAAAC
rnacentral:rRNA from 1 species